UAGACGGUACAGUGGGGCGAGAGAGCAA
rnacentral:sRNA from 1 species